rnacentral:rRNA from 1 species
AGUGAACGCUGGCGGUAGGCCUAACACAUGCAAGUCGAACGGCAGCACAGUAAGAGCUUGCUCUUACGGGUGGCGAGUGGCGGACGGGUGAGGAAUACAUCGGAAUCUACUUUUUCGUGGGGGAUAACGUAGGGAAACUUACGCUAAUACCGCAUACGACCUCCGGGUGAAAGCAGGGGAUCUUCGGACCUUGCGCGAUUGAAUGAGCCGAUGUCGGAUUAGCUAGUUGGCGGGGUAAAGGCCCACCAAGGCGACGAUCCGUAGCUGGUCUGAGAGGAUGAUAAGCCACACUGGAGCUGAGACACGGUCCAGACUCCUACGGGAGGCAGCAGUGGGGAAUAUUGGACAAUGGGCGCAAGCCUGAACCAGCCAUACCGCGUGGGUGAAGAAGGCCUUCGGGUUGUAAAGCCCUUUUGUUGGGAAAGAAAAGCAGCAGGUUAAUACCCCGCUGUUCUGACGGUACCCAAAGAAUAAGCACCGGCUAACUUCGUG